GACCUGACUUUUCUAUUCGGUAUUGCAACAAUCAGGCCAUCCAUAGAGUCAAUCAAAUCCAUCUUCAAAAAGAGGAAGGGGAGCCUCUUCGAAAAAAGUAAAAAAACUGAGAUCAAUGACUCCACCACCAGCGCUAGUAAUACCAUCAGGGCUUCGAGUGUGGAGCCUGUCAAGAUCGAUAACAUGUCUGAAGUUGUUGUCACCAUAGUGCCACUAAGGUCAGCCCCUCCUACCCCACUAGAGUUGAGCCAAGCUCCCAGCCUGGUGAUGCCCCCUUAGUGCAUACCAACUCCACUGCAGCCAUCCUCCACCCCAUCCACUCUAGCCGCACUGAUGCCUGCC
rnacentral:lncRNA from 1 species